rnacentral:tRNA from 1 species
AGAAAAAUGGCUGAGAAGAAAAGCGGUGGAUUGUAAAUCCACCUAUAAAGGUUAAACUCCUUUUUUUUCUA